rnacentral:rRNA from 1 species
GACGAACGCUGGCGGCGCGCCUAACACAUGCAAGUCGAACGAGCGAGAGAGAGCUUGCUUUCUCAAGCGAGUGGCGAACGGGUGAGUAACGCGUGAGGAACCUGCCUCAAAGAGGGGGACAACAGUUGGAAACGACUGCUAAUACCGCAUAAGCCCACGGCUCGGCAUCGAGCAGAGGGAAAAGGAGCAAUCCGCUUUGAGAUGGCCUCGCGUCCGAUUAGCUAGUUGGUGAGGUAACGGCCCACCAAGGCGACGAUCGGUAGCCGGACUGAGAGGUUGAACGGCCACAUUGGGACUGAGACACGGCCCAGACUCCUACGGGAGGCAGCAGUGGGGAAUAUUGCACAAUGGGGGAAACCCUGAUGCAGCGACGCCGCGUGGAGGAAGAAGGUCUUCGGAUUGUAAACUCCUGUUGUUGAGGAAGAUAAUGACGGUACUCAACAAGGAAGUGACGGCUAACUACGUGCCAGCAGCCGCGGUAAAACGUAGGUCACAAGCGUUGUCCGGAAUUACUGGGUGUAAAGGGAGCGCAGGCGGAAAGACAAGUUGGAAGUGAAAUCCAUGGGCUCAACCCAUGAACUGCUUUCAAAACUGUUUUUCUUGAGUAGUGCAGAGGUAGGCGGAAUUCCCGGUGUAGCGGUGGAAUGCGUAGAUAUCGGGAGGAACACCAGUGGCGAAGGCGGCCUACUGGGCACCAACUGACGC